rnacentral:rRNA from 1 species
GACGAACGCUGGCGGCGUGCCUAACACAUGCAAGUCGAACGGAAGGGCGCGGCGUUUGUGGGGUGGUCGAGUGGCGAACGGGUGAGUAACACGUGAGUAACCUGCACCUGAAUUUGGGAUAACUUCAGGAAACUGGGGCUCUUAUCGGGUAGGAUCUCCUGCUCCAUGGGGGGGGUUGGAGAGUUUCGGCGGUUGGGGCUGGACUCGAGGCUUAUCCGCUGCAUGGUCGGGUAGUGACGUACCAAGCCUUUGACGGGUAGCCGGCCUAGGAGGGUUGCCGGGCACAUUGGGACUGCGAUACGGCGCAGACUCGUACGUGACGCAGCAGUGGAGAACAUGGCAGAAUGGGCGGAAGCCUGAUGCAGCAGCGUCGCGUGCGGGAUGACGGCUUUCGGGUUGUGAACAGCUGUGGCCGGUGACGAAGAGUGAGUGACGGUAACGGGUAAAGAAGCACCGGCUAACUACGUG